GUAGGUGGCAAGCGUUGUCCGGAAUUAUUGGGCGUAAAGCGCGCGCAGGGCGGUCCUUUAAGUCUGAUGUGAAAGCCCACGGCUCAACCGUGGAGGGUCAUUGGAAACUGGGGGACUUGAGUACAGAAGAGGAAAGCGGAAUUCCAAGUGUAGCGGUGAAAUGCGUAGAGAUUUGGAGGAACACCAGUGGCGAAGGCGGCUUUCUGGUCUGUAACUGACGCUGAGGCGCGAAAGCGUGGGGAGCAAACAGGAUUAGAUACCCUGGUAGUCCACGCCGUAAACGAUGAGUGCUAAGUGUUAGGGGGUUUCCGCCCCUUAGUGCUGCAACUAACGCAUUAAGCACUCCGCCUGGGGAGUACGGCCGCAAAGGCUG
rnacentral:rRNA from 1 species